rnacentral:rRNA from 1 species
AUUGAACGCUGGCGGCAGGCCUAACACAUGCAAGUCGAGCGGAUGAAGGGAGCUUGCUCCUGGAUUCAGCGGCGGACGGGUGAGUAAUGCCUAGGAAUCUGCCUGGUAGUGGGGGAUAACGUCCGGAAACGGGCGCUAAUACCGCAUACGUCCUGAGGGAGAAAGUGGGGGAUCUUCGGACCUCACGCUAUCAGAUGAGCCUAGGUCGGAUUAGCUAGUUGGUGGGGUAAAGGCCUACCAAGGCGACGAUCCGUAACUGGUCUGAGAGGAUGAUCAGUCACACUGGAACUGAACCCCGGUCCAGACUCCUACGGGAGGCAGCAGUGGGGAAUAUUGGACAAUGGGCGAAAGCCUGAUCCAACCAUGCCGCGUGUGUGAAGAAGGUCUUCGGAUUUUAAAGCUCUUUAAGUUGGGAGAAAGGGCAGUAGGUUAAUACCUUGCUGUUUUGACGGUACCAAAAGAAUAAGCACCGGCUAACUUCGUG